GCACCCAGUUCUGUGCUUGCUGUAGACAUGAGGAGCCUGUCUCAGCAUCUGCAAAGUGUCUGACUGCACCAAGGAUACACACUUCCCACCUACCCUUAAGGUGUAGGGGUGAGCGUUCACUCUACACUCCCUGGGGAGGUUCUAGCAGGAGGAGCUGUGUUGGGGGCUCUCAAGAACAGAGAUGCCAGCCUGGCCUUGGGGCCGGGGGCCCCCCUUUUCCUGGAGCCCCAGACACUGGCACUUGUGUGCCCCAUGCAGGCCUGCCAGGGAGAGGAGCCAAGCAGCAGCUGUUAUCAGUCUCACGCAGACCUUCUCAUCUGGCUGCUCUUCUGAGGAGUGAUCCACGCUCUCUGCAGGUGCUGGGCAGCCUUCACUGGGAGGUGCAGCCAAGGCGGGAGGUGCAGCUGCUCUGUCUGCAGAGUCUUGGGAGAGGACAAAGGACCGUGAGGGGUUACAAGAGGUAACAGAGCUGAGCACCCAGGACCACCAAGCCCUACCAGCCUUCUCAGCCUCAGGUUCCCUUGUCUUUUGUGGUACCUGCCUCACGCGCAGAGAGUUGCCAGUGUCAGACCCUGCUUGCACCCAGCUUUACCAUCCUGGCCUGGCUCCCAUCCUGAAUAUAUUUUUACGUUUUAUGACUCUCAGAGGUUUUUAAAUUUAAUGGGUUCUUUUUUUUCUUUCUUCCUUCUUAUCACCUGAGCUAGAUCCUCUCUGAGCUGCUGCCAGCUUCAGGGAUUACAAGUGAAUAAUUUAGGUCUGAUGGUGCGUUUGAAGUUUAAGAGAAGGAAGUGGCAUCUGUAGCCUGCUCCUCAUCCCUGCCCCAGGGCCGUGGUGCAGCCUGCUGCUGUUUCUCCAAACACAGCUUCAAGGAUUCCCUAAGGAGCCACACUCUGAACAUUGCAUGGCCCUGCUCAGGCAUGGCCUUCCAGAUCCGGGCAGCCUAGAGACCAAGGCUCCCAGGGCACCACAGGGCAACGGGCUCAUUUUCGGCCAGCCGCCCUUACAGGCCGCUGCUCUGCAAGGAGGCAGCUCCCCAGCACUAGCACUGGAUGAUUGCUGUGCAUGCCAGGGACUGAACCACAGCACCAUGCCUGUCUGAGGGUCUCAGGGCCUUGCUUGCCAGCCCAGGGACAGGAGGGGUUAAAUGCCAAACCAGCGUGUGUGUCUUGGCAGCUCUGAAGCACAGUGAAGAAGGCAAUGGGCAAACAUGACCUGCUGCAGAGCUGACUUACGGGAUAGCUGUUGCUGGGCGAAAGGAGGUGCAUUUAGGGUCAGCAGCCUGUUGUCCCCAGAUACUGGUGGAGGAAGGAAGGACUUCCUUCAGUGUGCUGAGCAAUGGCAAUGCAGAGCUUUUGGCUGGCUUGCUCGUCUUUGCUGAGUGCAGAGCACACCGCUGCUUGACUCUCCCAGAGUGCAUUGAACUCCACAGGGUCCGGAGGCAGAUGAGACUUGCCUCCCCAUGUCCCAGGGGGUGUGCUGCCAUCGGUGGUCUCUGUGGUCUGUGCUUGCACAAUGUCAAGUGUUGCUAGUUCUCAGGACAGGGGACACAGAACGAUACUCUGGGAAAUUAUUUUUUAUCCCCUGCAAUUCACUGUUCAGAAAGUGAAGUCACUUUUGCCAGGACUCGUUCAGUAGCAGCCCUAAUGGAGGCAAUCUUUUCCUCAUAAAUACACUUCUCUUUGCAAGGUGGCUCUGACAAAAUCUAAGUAUGAACUUUAGUGGUUUCCAGGAGCUCUUGGAAGAACUAACAAGCAUAUCACAGGGUCCAGCAUUAAAUCCUUCCCUGCUGGGAUGCCGUAGAGAACGGAAACUGUCAGGCAGUUUGAGAUCCACUUAACAGCAAUUAGUGCAGAUGAAAGAAGCACUAACGCGAAAGCCCCAGUCUCUCUGCCUCGGGUGGGAGGAGGAAAGGAAUGUGUAAGAGAAAAUGUAAACAUGACAAAAUGUGGCUGUGUAUCCCACAAAACAAUGAAUCAUUUUAACAUUUCCAAUCCUUUUCAUGCAAGCAGAAACAGCCGAUCAAUAUGUGACAGAAUUAAAGACCUGCAGUAAAACCUUGGAGCUGAGGAUGUGUGAGAAUUGUGAACACAGACUAAUCUGCAGAAUUCUGCAUACAGCAUAAAAGGAAAGGCAAGUGUGUAUACAAGAGCCAGAAGCUGCAACAGCAGAAGUCUGCUUGGCAAGAGGACUCCUCUGCCCACCCAGAGGAGCACCCCCAUUGGAGAGGAGAAACCAUCACUGGCAAUGGAUAUGGAGCACCUACAGAAAAGGCAAUGCCAUGGCCAAUCCAAGGUGUGUCCAGACCCCGUCCAUUCAAACUCUUCCAGCUGAGCCUGCAGGUGAUGUCAUGGUACACAGAGUAUUUCUGCACAGACCUGUGGCCCCAGUAUGUGCUGAGGAGCCUCUCCUGGGAUGGGCACCCUGGUACCAAAGCGCUUGUUACCGAUUCAGACUGGUGCCCCGUGUUGUUGAGACAUGGCCAGUGAGCGAAGGCAUUCCUUCCUUCAGAGAGUCAGCUGCAGUGCAAGUUCCCCAACUGUAUUCUCCAGUCUUGUCCUGGAAAGAAAAGAACUGGCAAGAAGGAAAGCCAGUGUCUUUGCAUCUGUCCUUAUCCUUGUGCUGAAACCUGACUGCCAACAACUUGUCACAAAGAUGUUUUCUGCAGUGACACACUUCAUACAGGGCUCUUCCAAGGUAGCACUGGUCACACUGUGGGAAUGUUCCAGCUGGUUCGUUCUGCUGCUCAGCUGAGGGAGACACGUUCUGCUAGUGCCCGAGGACACGCUCCCGGGGAAGGGAGCUGCACUGCAGCGUUGCAGCUGAUGCAUCUGUGGGAGUCUCUGGGGCCGGUGCAGAGCCAUCCCCUAGCACUCCCCUCCAAGGUCUCAGCUGGCAGUGGCCAGGGCCAGCUGUCUGCAUGCAGGCCACAGGCAGCUGGGGAAGGGACCUGGCAGUUUGCUGCUAGCCUCUUCAUGGGGCUGCCGGGGCCUGAUGUGGUCACACUAUACCCUAUCCUAAACCAGUGGUUCAGUGCUCAGAGGCAGAAGCAAUUUUACAUAAAGUUCAAUUAAAUAUUUGCUUUAUAAUUGCGCAACAAAUUAUUCAUAAAGGCAUUG